AACGAACGCUGGCGGCAGGCCUAACACAUGCAAGUCGAACGAAGUCUUCGGACUUAGUGGCGCACGGGUGAGUAACACGUGGGAAUAUACCUUACGCUGGGGGAUAACAUCGGGUAACUGAUGCUAAUACCGCAUACGCUCUUCGGGGGAAAGAUUUAUCGGCGAAAGAUUAGCACGCGUCCGAUUAGCUAGUUGGUGUGGUAAUGGCCCACCAAGGCUCCGAUCGGUAGCUGGUCUGAGAGGAUGACCAGCCACACUGAGACUGAGACACGGCCCAGACUCCUACGGGAGGCAGCAGUGGGGAAUAUUGGACAAUGGGGGCAAGCCUGAUCCAGCCAGGCCGCGUGAGUGAUGAAGGCCUGAGGGUUGUAAAGCUCUUUCACCCACGACGAUGAUGACGGUAGUGGGAGAAGAAGCCCCGGCUAACUUCGUG
rnacentral:rRNA from 1 species